UAAUACGGAGGGUGCAAGCGUUAAUCGGAAUUACUGGGCGUAAAGCGCACGUAGGCUGUAGUGUAAGUCAGGGGUGAAAUCCCACGGCUCAACCGUGGAACUGCCUUUGAUACUGCACAACUUGAAUCCGGGAGAGGGUGGCGGAAUUCCAGGUGUAGGAGUGAAAUCCGUAGAUAUCUGGAGGAACAUCAGUGGCGAAGGCGGCCACCUGGACCGGUAUUGACGCUGAGGUGCGAAAGCGUGGGGAGCAAACAGG
rnacentral:rRNA from 1 species